GUACAAGUUGCUCUCAUAUGUCAGUCGAGUUCCGAAAGUACAGGAUAUAUGAAGUGGUUUAGGUUAGUUUGAAGUUGUUUAGGUUAGUAACCGUUCAUUUGUCAUGUCUUUGGUUUUUUUUUCACGAGAAUGCGAUGUUUUUGUUUUCUUUGCUGGUGAAUAAUUAAAUAAUUAAGUGAGUCUAAAGGAAGGAACUUUUUCUAUGAUUCAUUGCUAAGGGACGCUAUUCCGAGUAUAAAUAGAGGGAGGCAACUUUGACAUAAGCAGACUACACAUUUUGUGAAAUAGAUAAAGGGGCGGCAUGGCCAUUCUCAUUUCUUGCAGUAAAUCCUCGCUCGUCAAGCCACAUCAGCUGCCGAGUCUUUGGUCUGAGAACUAAUGAACUAAUUCACUAGACACGACAAAUAUUUCUAUCUGAUUGUUUACUUUAGUCUAUGUCAAAUGAGCUUGGAUACCUAAAAGUAUAUUGAAAUAUUUCUUUGAAAUAUAGACUGCUGGAAUAUUGAUACAAAACAAUAACAAAAAACAUUUUUUAAACACAGAAUACUAGAAAGUGGGAAAAAAGUGUUUAAUAGCUAGACAAAGUAUAUCCAUUUCAGAAGAGAACACAUUUAUAGAAAUUGGAUCUAUUUUAAAGAAAAAUGGAUGAAAAGAAGAGUUAUGUCCCAUUGUUGAAGUCGAGCGAAAAAAACAAUGGCGGUCUUUUGUUUCACGCUGGUGGCGAAAUCUCAUCAUCCAGAAACCCUCUUACUUCCGCUUCCGGUGCCUCCAUGCGUCUUGUGGUGCUGGUCAACCUGGUUCUGGUACUGUGUGUGGUGGUAGUUGGAUUAGUGGUCACUGUAGUGAAUCAGCAAGCUCGCAUUGACAACCUGGAAAGGUGGAUCAUUAAGUUGGAUAAUAGUUUACAAAGUCAGGUACCUGUGGAUACCCACUCACCUGCAGUGAACUCACCACGUGUACAUCGUCUGCCCCGUAGCUCGACUGGCACCUGUGGUGAGCUCAACGCUGUUCUAAGUAACUAUUGUGAUCACAGGAACAAGACAGGUACACGUAGUGUCUUAGCAUUGGCCG